UCACCGUGCACUGGCUCAACAACCAGGAGCUGUACCUCACCCUAACCAUGGAGGUGUUCCUGCAGCAGCUCAGGGGCAGCAUGGAGCAGCACAACUAAAAAAACAAAACAAAACUCCCAGGAGGGAGGUAGAGGAGGCUGCUAGACGUGCGGCAGAACGAGGACCCAACGUGGCGUCCGUCCAGCUGCCUCCUGCAGCGGUGAAGGACCAGGUGCAGAUUCUACUAGAUAACUGGAACAGAGGGGCAGACAUGCUGUUCAGUAUACACCCCAUGGACGGCUCUGCUGGAGUGGCACGUUGACAUGCUGGAUGAGUAUCACCCCGGCAGGUCCAGGUGUCCUUUGUCUCGGAUUCCUGUGGCCUUCCCACGGUCGAAGCCAACUCUCUGAGCCGCAGCUUGGUCAUGUAUGCCUGCAACAAGAAUGUGGAACUGGCCAUCCACUCCUCCUCGGUGCUCAUCACCAACAGCCAGAGCAAGGCAGCCUCCAGCACCCUGAUCCUCAGCAUCUUCACCCCCAAUGCGCUCAUGAUCGCCAUGCACGCAAACGGCUCCCUGAACCAGUGGGCGGUCAGCUUCGCCUGCCUUCUCAACCGUUCUGCCUUCUCAACCGUUCUUAGCGUGUCGCACAAGUAGCGCUACUGCGGCCACUGCUUCCACCUCAACAACCUGGCCUGCCACUCCCUGUUGCCCCUGCUCCUCACCACCUCGCACCACAAUGCCAUGCGCACCCCCGACGUGGACAGUGUCAUGGCCGCCCUCUCCCAGCCCAUCAGGGGCAGGCCCUGCCGGGUGUCCCUGGGUGCCAUGUCGAAGUACCCAAAUGCCAUUUACAGCAAGCUCAUCCUGUGGAAGGUGGACCCUGGUGGAGCCCUUGUCCUUCUCUGGAGGGGUAUCUGAGCUAGCCAGGAAAAACCUUCUCCACUCCUACGCCUUCUCCAACAGCCUGGCUGCCCACACUCAUCCCUAGCAACUGCCUUGGUAAGGAAGGAGACAGUCAGUGGAUUGACCUUUGAAAACCCUGUAGCUACAAUUACUGUCAGGUUGUAAUUGUUUUUUCCACUGCAGGUGUCUACUGCAACUCACCCAGUGCCUGCUUCGUGGCCAGUGAUGGUCAUUGAAGCCAAGAAACUACUCAAUGAGCUCUACAACCCUGAGAUAUCAGUAAGUCGACAACCAGUACAAUCACAAUAUAUUUUAAAAUCUCAGAUGCUCUAUUUUUACCUGCUCUAAUCUUGAUAUCUAACUAUAAUUAACUGAUUUUGUAAAAUGAUUUAUUAUUAGAAAUAUGUUGCCGAAGUUUUUAACAUUAUCAGCCAGCAAUCAACCGCCAAACCAGGCUGUAUCACUCCUGCCCUUUGUGUUGUUGUUUGACGAACUAGUCAUAGUUACAAGUUACUGCGACCUGUUGCUACCCAUGCUUGAUUACAGAGGCGUAAUUUAUAGAACAGCAGGUAAGGGUGCUCUCGAGCUUCUAGAUGGUCUUUACCAUUCGGCCAUCAGAUUUGCCACCAAUGUAUGGAAUGCCAUUUGGGUCUUUGCGUGUCAAAAAGAUACACGUCAAAUAACACUUUGACACGUCAAAUAAGCUUCUUGACCAAUCAGGACCUGAAUAUGAGCACAUCACAUAAUUAACACUCUCAUUCAUUUUUUUACGUAGUUAUUACACAUUGAUUACACUAUCACUCGUAUUUCAUGUCACAACGAUUCACCGAUACUAACAUUAACAUUAAGUUAACAUUACCUGGCUAUUGAUGGUUGCAGUCCAUCUCUUCUGUCCGUGGUCAGCAGUCUGGUGCAAUCAGAGAUGGCAGAUUUACCAUUUCGAGAAAUUAGGCAGCCAUUGUUAACUAGCUAGAUUAAUUUUACCUCGGAAGAACAGAAGUUGAGUGAACGUCUUUCAUCAGUACCUGAGAAAUGGGAAAGAGUCCAAACGAUCUUAAUGCAAAUGUGAUCAUCAGUGACAAUCUUGACUCGUAUGAGUACCGAUGAAAGACGUUCACUCAACUUCUGUACAGAUUUAUGACUAGAGUUGACUUACUGCUCCAAGGCCACCUGCAUGCUCCCUUGGACAAAUUGUUGAGCCACCAAUUCAACCACACCAUCUCUGUCCUCCAUUGUCUUGACAACAAUCCUUUUUUUGUAGGGGAACGAGUCUUCUCCUGUCUGUCUUAAAGGCCUCCACAUUUGGAUUCAUUUGGGGGAAUGUUUCCGACAACCUUCAAGAAGCUGCUCUCCUCCUGACCAUAGGGCACUUUGAUCUGCCUCACAGGAUACUCUAAAGAUACUGAGAUAUGGAAACAUUAUUUAAAUCUAAUAAAUUAUCCUAAUAUAGAACAGGGACAGUCCAUGAUCUUUAAAUCAGUAAAAUAACCUUCAAUAAGUCUGUUUAAUCUCAAGACAGAUUCACACCUAGCUUACUUACAAAGCAAGCACUGUCCUCAUGCAUAUAGGGAAAAUGUACCUAUCCUGUUCAGCUGCAGGAUGUUAGGGUCAGCGAUGCUUCUCCCGGUUUGCCGCCUUUGGACUCCAGCAAUAUUCCAUCUCCUGAACGAUUGAAAUCUGACAUGUGCAAACGUUAUAAAAGUUACAAUAAUGACACUCAGCAUAGUCGACGCCGCCCAUACUCGCGCACCCCACGGUAACGUUAGCUGUUGCAAUCAUUAGCUAGCUAAUGUUACUAGGUAGUUGUGCCGGUUAAUGUUGACUUUUGUCAGGUAUUACCUAACCUUCCAGAAUUAAUCCUACCUUUGAACCACCCGAUCCUCCUGGGGUGGUUGUAAAGGUGGUUUCACUUCGCUGGCAAAAUGUAAAAAGCAGUCAUGUUUUCAAGGUUCGACAUGACUUGGUCAUUUGUUGGUGAUGAUGAAUGAGAAGUUUUUCAUAUAGUGAUUGGCCAACAUUUGCAUAUAGUUUACAUAUUGUUAUUUGAUGUGUCAAAUAGUGUUAUUUGAC
rnacentral:lncRNA from 13 species